rnacentral:lncRNA from 10 species
UGGCAACUAUAGCUUAUUUCUGUGUAUUAGCAGGUUUAUUUUCAGAGUUAUAGAAGUCCUCAUGUAAAAGCUCUCAAGUUAUUAUAAUUUCAGGGACAAAUAUUAAGUACAUAAGAAAACCUCUCAGAUAUUAUAGGCUUUGAUUGCAGUGUGAAUGGCUGACUUGAAACUGACAUCAACUACUUCUUGGGGAAGACAGCUCAACACAAAAAGGAUGUUGGUGAUCUGGAACUGAAUCUUCAAUAUCUCCAAGCAGGUAGAGCAUGGUUAAAUAAUGAGCUAUUCCCAGGUGGCACAUCAGCAAGGGUUGCACACUCAAGAUGAGUUUGAUGCUGAUUUCCAUUAUAUUCCACAGACCUCAACACAGGUGGCCGUUCUUCCUCUUCCUAAGUCAGAAAAUUUGUUC